GACAGAGGGUGCAAACGUUGUUCGGAAUUACUGGGCGUAAAGCGUGUGUAGGUGGCUGCGUAAGUCGGAUGUGAAAGCCCUGGGCUCAACUCAGGAAGUGCACUCGAUACUGCGUAGCUCGAGUACCGGAGAGGUUGGUAGAAUUCUCGGUGUAGAGGUGAAAUUCGUAGAUAUCGAGAAGAACACCGGUGGCGAAGGCGGCCAACUGGACGGUGACUGACACUGAGACGCGAAAGCGUGGGGAGCAAACAGG
rnacentral:rRNA from 1 species